rnacentral:piRNA from 1 species
GCAUACCACGUGUGACUGUGUUGAGGU